CCGAACGCCGGUUCACUUCCACUGCCAUGACCACAACCUUCGUUCCCACAUUAACAUUAGUAUACAUCAGAGAGUGUAAAAACAUACGUUAGCUCCGGUGUUAAUCUGAUUACUAAGGAGGAAUAAGUUGAGAAGAUCUCAUCAAUUUCAGUAGCAGUUGACGUAGAUCAGUCAAUUAUAGAUGUAAUUCGAAUCGUCUGAGCCUUGGACUUCAAAUAUGGUUAUUACAACCUCGCUUACAUAUCUGAGCGUUGAAGGAUGUUUUGAUAAACAAAGGGGGUACUUAAUUGGUUGUUUUGGAUGGGAUUCCAGGACAACUAAAUCCUUGGAAACUUAUGCCAGAAUCGUGUGUCGAUGUGUGAUAAGGACCCCUGAAGAGCUGCUCUGCCAUGGUUGA